UACGGGGGGGGCAAGCGUUGUUCGGAAUUACUGGGCGUAAAGGGCUCGUAGGCGGCCAACUAAGUCAGACGUGAAAUCCCCGGGCUCAACCCGGGAACUGCGUCCGAAACUGGCAGGCUCGAAUUCGGGAGAGGGAUGCGGAAUUCCAGGUGUAGCGGUGAAAUGCGUAGAUAUCUGGAGGAACAUCGGUGGCGAAGGCGGCAUCCUGGACCGAUAUUGACGCUGAGGCGCGAAAGCCAGGGGAGCAAACGGG
rnacentral:rRNA from 1 species